AACGAACGCUGGCGGCAUGCCUAACACAUGCAAGUCGAACGAGAUCUUCGGAUCUAGUGGCGCACGGGUGCGUAACGCGUGGGAAUCUGCCCUUUGGUUCGGAAUAACUUCGGGAAACUGAAGCUAAUACCGGAUGAUGACUUCGGUCCAAAGAUUUAUCGCCAAAGGAUGAGCCCGCGUAAGAUUAGCUAGUUGGUGGGGUAAAGGCCUACCAAGGCGACGAUCUUCAGCUGGUCUGAGAGGAUGAUCAGCCACACUGGGACUGAGACACGGCCCAGACUCCUACGGGAGGCAGCAGUGGGGAAUAUUGGACAAUGGGCGAAAGCCUGAUCCAGCAAUGCCGCGUGAGUGAUGAAGGCCUUAGGGUUGUAAAGCUCUUUUACCCGGGAUGAUAAUGACAGUACCGGGAGAAUAAGCUCCGGCUAACUCCGUGCCAGCCGCCGCAGUAA
rnacentral:rRNA from 1 species